CACGUUGUGUGGAACUUUCAUCAUUUGCUUCUACAAACGCUUUAAACCAAGUUUCAUCUCUGUUAAACCGAUAUGGAUUCAGAAACCGACACUAAAAAUCUAGAGAAACGUCUCAAAAAGGCCGCUCUAGCUUGGGCUUGUACUCUCACACCUCCGACUGCCUUUGUGACUCCAGAACCAGGAGGUGAGACAGAGGAGAUUUUAGAAGAAAAAUUGAGAAGAGGACGGCGCGAAGGAACAUUUUACAAAUGGAGUGACGACGAAGAAACAUCAGGAUAAACUCGAGAAUGAAGAUAAGAUUUGUCUGGAUCAGAUCACCUCGACUGUAGACAGAGUAUGGUUCUUGCCUAGCCUUAGGUAACCUCAGAAAGGCCGUAAGGACGAUGUGCAAUCGAGGAAAAGGCUUGAACUAUCAGAAAUGAAACGUUUGACAAGACACAAUUGUUCGGUAAUUGAUUCAAGAAGUGUCAGCAGAGAAAUUGAAACAUUUUAAUCUAUUCAAAUACCACCAUUAUGGAUUAAAUUUGUUAUGCUUCAGUUGGGCUAGCGACAGUGUCACGUAGACCAUUUCAUUUUCGUACGUUUUAGUAAAUAUUUUAUUCUAGAAAAAGGCUUGCCCAGGUAUGUAUAGAAAUUAGCGUCGUUCAUUUAAUAUCACCUUUCGUCUCGUCCAUUAUGUGCUUCAGCAAACGAUGCUAUAUCAGUUCACAUCUACUUAGAGUUAUGUUUUAACCUCUCGUAACCCAACUAAUACCAGGAUACGCGUUAAAUUCCCAUAAGUGUAAUAUACAUACCGGCUCUAUUAAAACUAUGUGCACAUUUUAAGUUAGUCAUUUAAAAUAAUCUUGCCAUUGAAAAUUGCUUUUAUUUUUCAAAUUUUUGUCAUUGUGUGAAACUAUUCAUACCCUUCUUAAUAUUAUUAAUUACUUUCGAUCCUGAUACCUUGCAAAAGCUGUUUCUUUUUUUUUUACUUUCUAACGUCAAAAACUUGACGUAAGCAUACGAAAACGUAAAAUGCAGAUAUUGUAAUGUGUAAAAUAUUCGAUAAAAAUUCUCAGAAAUAAAUUGUUGGAGUUGAUUUGUUGACA